rnacentral:rRNA from 1 species
UACAGAGGUCUCAAGCGUUGUUCGGAUUCAUUGGGCGUAAAGGGUGCGUAGGCGGCUGGGCAAGUCUGAUGUGAAAUCCCGGGGCUCAACCCCGGAACUGCACUGGAUACUGCCCUGCUAGAGAUCUGGAGAGGAAACUGGAAUUUACGGUGUAGCAGUGAAAUGCGUAGAUAUCGUAAGGAAGACCAGUGGCGAAGGCGGGUCUCUGGACAGUUCCUGACGCUGAGGCACGAAGGUCAGGGGAGCAAACGGG